rnacentral:rRNA from 1 species
AUUGAACGCUGGCGCAGGCCUAACACAUGCAAGUCGAGCGGAUGAAGGGAGCUUGCUCCUGGAUUCAGCGGCGGACGGGUGAGUAAUGCCUAGGAAUCUGCCUGGUAGUGGGGGAUAACGUCCGGAAACGGGCGCUAAUACCGCAUACGUCCUGAGGGAGAAAGUGGGGGAUCUUCGGACCUCACGCUAUCAGAUGAGCCUAGGUCGGAUUAGCUAGUUGGUGGGGUAAAGGCCUACCAAGGCGACGAUCCGUAACUGGUCUGAGAGGAUGAUCAGUCACACUGGAACUGAGACACGGUCCAGACUCCUACGGGAGGCAGCAGUGGGGAAUAUUGGACAAUGGGCGAAAGCCUGAUCCAGCCAUGCCGCGUGUGUGAAGAAGGUCUUCGGAUUGUAAAGCACUUUAAGUUGGGAGGAAGGGCAGUAAGUUAAUACCUUGCUGUUUUGACGUUACCAACAGAAUAAGCACCGGCUAACUUCGUG